UGGAAAUGAUGCAGAUGUUUGUUUCGUGACAUUGAAAGUGUAGAAGCUUAAAAAUGCUGAUUUAAUGAGGCUGAUCC